rnacentral:rRNA from 1 species
GAUGAACGCUGGCGGCGUGCCUAAUACAUGCAAGUCGAGCGAAAAGACGAGGAGCUUGCUCCUCUGACGUUAGCGGCGGACGGGUGAGUAACACGUGGAUAACCUACCUAUAAGACUGGGAUAACUUCGGGAAACCGGAGCUAAUACCGGAUAAUAUAUUGAACCGCAUGGUUCAAUAGUGAAAGACGGUUUUGCUGUCACUUAUAGAUGGAUCCGCGCCGCAUUAGCUAGUUGGUAAGGUAACGGCUUACCAAGGCAACGAUGCGUAGCCGACCUGAGAGGGUGAUCGGCCACACUGGAACUGAGACACGGUCCAGACUCCUACGGGAGGCAGCAGUAGGGAAUCUUCCGCAAUGGGCGAAAGCUUGACGGAGCAACGCCGCGUGAGUGAUGAAGGUCUUCGGAUCGUAAAACUCUGUUAUUAGGGAAGAAAAAAUGUGUAAUUAACUAUGCACGUCUUGACGGUACCUAAACAGAAAGCCACGGCUAACUACGUG